rnacentral:rRNA from 1 species
AGAGUUUGAUCCUGGCUCAGGAUGAACGCUAGCGGCAGGCUUAACACAUGCAAGUCGAGGGGCAGCACAUGAGUAGCAAUACGAUGGUGGCGACCGGCGCACGGGUGAGUAACGCGUAUGCAACCUGCCCAUAACUGGGGGAUAACCCGGAGAAAUCCGGACUAAUACCGCAUAAGACCACGAGGCGACAUCGCCCUGUGGUAAAAACUUCGGUGGUUAUGGAUGGGCAUGCGUGUCAUUAGCUAGUUGGUGAGGUAACGGCUCACCAAGGCGACGAUGACUAGGGGGUCUGAGAGGAUGGUCCCCCACACUGGAACUGAGACACGGUCCAGACUCCUACGGGAGGCAGCAGUGAGGAAUAUUGGUCAAUGGGCGGAAGCCUGAACCAGCCAUGCCGCGUGAAGGAUGACGGCCUUAUGGGUUGUAAACUUCUUUUGUGGUAGAACAAUAAGGGGCACGAGUGCUCCGAUGAGAGUAUAUCACGAAUAAGCAACGGCUAACUCCGUGCCAGCAGCCGCGGUAAUACGGAGGAUGCGAGCGUUAUCCGGAUUUAUUGGGUUUAAAGGGUGCGUAGGCGGUUUGAUAAGUCAGUGGUGAAAGUUUGCAGCUUAACUGUAAAAUUGCCAUUGAUACUGUCAGACUUGAGUACAGAUGAGGUAGGCGGAAUGUGUGGUGUAGCGGUGAAAUGCUUAGAUAUCACACAGAACACCGAUUGCGAAGGCAGCUUACUAAACUGACACUGACGCUGAGGCACGAAAGUGUGGGGAUCAAACAGGAUUAGAUACCCUGGUAGUCCACACUGUAAACGAUGAUUACUGGAUGUUUGCGAUAUACUGUAAGCGUCUCAAGCGAAAGCAUUAAGUAAUCCACCUGGGGAGUACGUCGGCAACGAUGAAACUCAAAGGAAUUGACGGGGGCCCGCACAAGCGGAGGAACAUGUGGUUUAAUUCGAUGAUACGCGAGGAACCUUACCCGGGCUCGAACGACAGGGGAAUAUGGGGGAAACUUCAUAGCCAGCAAUGGUCGCUGUCGAGGUGCUGCAUGGUUGUCGUCAGCUCGUGCCGUGAGGUGUCGGCUUAAGUGCCAUAACGAGCGCAACCCUUAUCUUUAGUUGCCAGCGGGUGAUGCCGGGGACUCUAGAGAAACUGCCAGCGUAAGCUGAGAGGAAGGUGGGGAUGACGUCAAAUCAGCACGGCCCUUACGUCCGGGGCGACACACGUGUUACAAUGGCCGGUACAGAGGGCAGCUACCCAGUGAUGGGAUGCGAAUCUCGAAAGCCGGUCUCAGUUCGGAUCGGAGUCUGCAACUCGACUUCGUGAAGCUGGAUUCGCUAGUAAUCGCGCAUCAGCCAUGGCGCGGUGAAUACGUUCCCGGGCCUUGUACACACCGCCCGUCAAGCCAUGGAAGCCGGGGGUACCUGAAGUACGUAACCGCAAGGAGCGUCCUAGGGUAAAACUGGUGACUGGGGCUAAGUCGUAACAAGGUAGCCGUACCGGAAGGUGUGGCUG